rnacentral:misc_RNA from 1 species
CUCACUUCCAUUUUUCAUUCUCUUCUCUCUCAAUUCUCAACCAUGUCCGCCGAUAAGGAGCGAGACACUCAUGUUUACAUGGCCAAGCUCGCCGAACAGGCAGAGCGUUACGAAGAAAUGGUUGAGUGUAUGAAAAAAAUUGCAAGGCUUGAUUGUGAGCUCACUGUGGAGGAGAGGAACCUCCUCUCUGUGGGUUACAAAAAUGUUAUUGGUGCUAGGAGAGCUUCUUGGCGCAUUAUGUCCUCCAUUGAACAGAAGGAAGAGAGUAAAGGAAAUGAAAACAAUGUUAAACUGAUUAAGGGUUACCGCCAGAAGGUAGAAGAGGAACUCUCUGGCAUUUGCAAUGACAUUCUUUCCAUCAUAGACAAGCAUCUCAUCCCUUCUUCCACCUCUGGGGAAGCUACUGUUUUCUACUACAAGAUGAAGGGUGACUACUAUCGUUAUCUGGCUGAGUUCAAGAAUGAUCAGGAAAGGAAGGAGGCCGCUGAUCAGUCACUCAAGGGUUAUGAGGCUGCUUCUACCAAUGCAAGCACAGACCUUCCUUCAACUCACCCAAUUCGUCUUGGCCUUGCACUUAAUUUCUCUGUUUUCUACUAUGAG